rfam:Rattus norvegicus chromosome 5, whole genome shotgun sequence.
ACAGAGAAUCUUUUAAGAUUCACACACAAAAAAAAGAGAAAAAGU